rnacentral:rRNA from 1 species
GCGGCACAGCUCAGAUUUGAAAUCUGGCUCUCGGGCCCGAGUUGUAAUUUGUAGAGGAUGCUUUUGGUGAGGUGCCUUCCGAGUUCCCUGGAACGGGACGCCUUAGAGGGUGAGAGCCCCGUCUGGUUGGACACCGAUACUCUGUAAAGCUCCGUCGACGAGUCCAGUAGUUUGGGAAUGCUGCUCUGAAUGGGAGGUAUAUGUCUUCUAAAGCUAAAUACCGGCCAGAGACCGAUCGCGCACAAGUCGAGUGAUCGAAAGAUGAAAAGAACUUUGAAAAGAGAGUUAAAAANUACGUGAAAUUGUUGAAAGGGAAGCGCUUGUGACCAGACUUGGGCUUGGUUGAUCAUCCGGGGUUCUCCCCGGUGCACUCUUCCGG